GCCUCCAUGGCCUAGUGGAUCAGCCCCAUCAGAGCGAGCUUUGUCUCGAGUUGAUGUGGUCGAGGGUUCGACUCCCUCUGGAAGCA